GAUGAACGCUGGCGGCGUGCCUAAUACAUGCAAGUCGAGCGAACAGAUGAGGAGCUUGCUCCUCUGACGUUAGCGGCGGACGGGUGAGUAACACGUGGAUAACCUACCUAUAAGACUGGGAUAACUUCGGGAAACCGGAGCUAAUACCGGAUAAUCUAUUGAACCGCAUGGUUCAAUAGUGAAAGACGGUUUUGCUGUCACUUAUAGAUGGAUUCGCGCCGCAUUAGCUAGUUGGUAAGGUAACGGCUUACCAAGGCGACGAUGCGUAGCCGACCUGAGAGGGUGAUCGGCCACACUGGAACUGAGACACGGUCCAGACUCCUACGGGAGGCAGCAGUAGGGAAUCUUCCGCAAUGGGCGAAAGCCUGACGGAGCAACGCCGCGUGAGUGAUGAAGGUCUUCGGAUCGUAAAACUCUGUUAUUAGGGAAGAACAAAUGUGUAAGUAACUAUGCACGUCUUGACGGUACCUAAUCAGAAAGCCACGGCUAACUACGUG
rnacentral:rRNA from 1 species